GAAACAAUAAGGAGGAGGAAGUGGAGGAGCAUCUGCUUUGCAUGCAGAAGGUCCCGGGUUCAAUCCCUGACAGCAUCUUCAGAAAACAAGAUGCUGAAAAUGUACAUAUGAAAAAAAGCACUGAAGAAGAACAGAAAGCUGGCACCACACAGAAAGAAAGAAAGAAAGAGAAAGAAAGAAAGAAAGAAGCAAUCAAUGCAGGAGAGAAUUCAUCCCAAGAUGGCACAGGCAGACUGGAUGGCACAAGGCAGGUUGGCAGCAUGGCAGAACAAUGGUGGCAAGGUGGAACACAACAGGCAGAAAUGCAGCAAAGCAAGAAGCAAAGCUAUCUCUUCUUCUUCCACGAGGCAAAAAGAAAAAAUGACUGCCUGUUGCCCCUUUAAAUUACCCUUGAAAAUCCCUCCGUGAACUGGCCCCCACCAUUGCCCCUUCUUUGACCUUCCCCUGGCCAAUAAGGGGUCAUGUUGCACUUUGCAGAGCCGAAAGAACCAAUCAGGAAUGAGGAGACAAUUCUCAGCAGAUCAGCCCAUGCUUUCCUAUACCACUCCGAAGGCUGGAAGGGUGGGAAAUUCAAAUCAACGUCAAACACAAAAUGGAGACUGACUCCAAAAUGGAGGUACGAAACAACAAAACUUUCUGAGCCAAAACAGGCACGAUUCAUUUUGUUGACAGAACUUUCAGAAGGUGCAAAUGGGCGAUUUGUUCUGUAUACAAAUCGCCCGAAACUGCCUGGUUUGGGUACAGAUCGCUCUGUACCCAAAAUGUUUCACACAUCCCUACAAAAUACACUUUCUCAAGGGAAACCUACCUCAUGGGCAGGUAAAAUGUGUGAGAGCUGGCAACCUUAGCAACAGCACAGCCAUCUCACUGCUGCAUGCUUCAAAUACUGAGUCACCUCCCAUGGUCUGAAUGAUGGCAUGGCAGGUCUGCUGGAAAUCCC